AAAUUCGGCCCUAGACGAGACGGACACGGACCUCGUCUCUCUUCUGCUUCUACCCGGCGAAACGCGGCGGCCGCCGAGAUCCGCUCCGCGCAGCCUCGCCGCCGCGUUCGAGGAGGGAGCCUGUUUGGGAUAUUUGGGAUGCGGGCCAGCGGCGCGGCAACGCCGCGGGUGGUGGGGCGGACGCGCACCUCUACGACGACCCGGACGAUGCCGCCGUACCGGCGCUCCUCGACUCCCACUUCGACGGCGGCAAGUUCGACGCGCCCAAGCACCUUCUCGCCCUCAUCUCUCUGGGCAUCGACGUCGCCCACCUCUCGACGCAGGCGGUCAUGAACUGGAGGCGUAGUCGUUUGAGGUGAAGAAGCCCGCGUACUUGCUCCACUACGCUGAGAAGUAAUGAAUCUGAUUGGAGAUGUUAAGAGGAAAAGUGUCUGUUAUGAUGGAUGAUAUGAUUGGUACAGCAGGAACUAUUGCCAAGGGAGAUGAGCUGCUGCAUCAAGAAAGAGCAAGAGAAGUCUAUGCAUGUUGUACACCUGCUGUUUAGCCCACCAGCCAUUGAGAGAUUAUCAAGUGGUUUGUUUCAAGAAGUAAUCAUCAUGAACACUAUCCCUUCAAAGAAGCAUUCAAGACUUUAUUGAGCAAGGCAAGCAACCUACUUUGAUCAUGUUGAACCCAUAUUUGCAUUACACACUUAAGAUUAUUUUGCAUGCAUAAAGUAUUGUUUACUAGUAUUGCUAUGCUAAGUAAAUUAGCUAGGGUUUAGCUAUGCUCUAUGUGCUUGAUAUUGACACCCCCUUUGACAUUCUUAAUACCCCUCGUUUCUAACCGGAGGAAUACAUACCCACUUGUCACAAAUAAAUGUGGGUCAUAGGCGCAAGUUUAAUAGUGCUUAGCCAUGCAAGUCAUAUAAAUCCUAGGACUGGGGAAUAAUUGUAGCACAUUACCCCAAUAUGGGACGAGGCUGAACUUAGUACCUUGGUCUGUUUAGUGUAGAGCCCUCACUAGGUGGAUACCUUGUACACCGUGACGAGAGUGGAAAAAUAUCAAUCAUGGGGGACUAUGUACCAUCAGGUGGACUCUAUAGUUGCAUCAUUCUUGAGAAAAGUUUUGUUCGAUUGUUCAAGUCGCGUAGACCUAGCACCAAGAUACCUUCAAGAUGCAAAGGCCUGCAUCUUUAAUUGUACAAAGUGCAACUUAGUCAGAGUUUCUCCUCUCUCAAGCUUAAGCCUUUCUCUAAACCAAACCUAUCCUAGGAAACCCAACCUAGUUAUCAAGGAUGUGAUAGCAUGGACUUAUAUCGAUGUACUUAACUUAUGGAAUUGCAAGAGGACCCAUUAAGCACCAACAACUUUUGAUUGGAAUGAAGCCCUACAUGAAAUUGUGAUUUUGUGAGUCAAUCAUGUUACAUCCUUAAGCCCCCAAUAUGCACCAAGUUGGGUGGUGCCAUAUUGAAAUGGUUUUCAUCAGUUAGAAGAUGAGGUAGUUUGAUGGUGAUGUAGAAGUGGUAUUGGGGAGAUAGAAGUCAAAGAUGUACGGUGGAUUAUGAGAUUUUAGGGCUAGUAGGUGAGCAUGAUGAUUAUUUUAUAAAUGGAUAAACAUAUCUUUAAUUAAUAUUGAAACAAUUUGGAUUUAGUUUGGUGAUUGUGAUCUUGAAGCAAAUUUCACGGUGGAUUAUGAGAUUUUAUGUGGAUUUAGUUAUGUGAUUGUGAUCUUAAGGAGAUAGUUAAAAAUGUUCGGUGCAUUAUGAGAUUUUAGAGCUAGUAGGUGAGCAUGAUGAUUAUUAUAUUGUUUAAUAAACAUAUAUUUGAUUAAUCUGUAAACAAUUUGGCUUUAGUAAGGUGAUUACGAUCUUUAACUAAAUUUCAUGGUGAUUUAUGGGAUUUUAGUCUAGUAUGUGAGCAUGAUGAUUAUUAAAUUGUUGAAUAACGAAUCUUCAAUUAAUAUUACAAUAAUGUAUUUAGUUAAGUGAUAGUGAUCUUGAACCAAAUUUUACGGAGCAUUAUGAGAUUUUAGGUGGAUUUAGUUACAUGAUGUGCUCUUGAGAAGAUAGUCAAAGAUGUUUGGUGGAUUAUGAGAUUUUUGGGCUAGUCGGUGAGCAUGAUGAUUAUUCUAUUUGUGGAUACAUAUAUCUUUUAUUAAUAUUGGAGCAAUAUAAAUUUAGUUAGGUGAUUGUGAUUUUCGACCGAAUUUCAUGGUGGAUUAUGAUAUCUUAGCCUGGAUUUAGUUAGGUGAUUGUGAUCUUGAGAAUACAGUCAAAGAUGUUUGGUGGAUUAUGAGAUUUUAAGUCUAUGAUAUCUUACCCUGGAUUUAGUUAGGUGAUUGUGAUCGUGAGAAUACAGUUAAAGAUGUUUGGUGGAUUAUGAGAUUUUAAGUCUAGUAUGAGCAUGGCUAUAUUAUAUUGGUUGAUAAACAUAUCUUUCAUUAAUCCUGGAACAAUUUGGAUUUAGUUAGGUGAUUGAAAUCUUGAAGCAAAUUUGACAACGGGUUAUGAGUUUUUGGUGGCUCUACUAGGGUGAUUGUAAUCUUGAGGAGAUAGUCAAAGAUGUUCGGUGGAUUAUGAGAUUUUAGGUCUAGUAUGAGCAUGACUACUAUUUGGUGGAUAAACAUAUUUUCAAUUAAUCCUGGAUUAAUUUGGAUUUAUUUAUGUGAUUUUGAUGUUGAAGCAAAUUCGAUGAUGGACUAUGAAUUUUGAUGGAUUUAAUUAGGUGCUUGUGAUCUUGAGGAGAUAGUAAAAAUGUUAGGUGGAUUAUGAGAUUUUAGGUCUAGUAUGUCAGAAUGACGAUUAUUAUAUUGAUGGAUAAACAGAUCUUCAAAUAAUCUUGGAACACUUCAAAUUAGUUAGGUGAUUGUGAUUUUGAACCAAAUUUCACAAUGGAUUAUGAUAUCUUAGCCUGGAUUUAGUUAGGUGAUUAUCAUCUUGAGAAGAUAGUCAAAGAUGUUCCAUCAAUUAUGAGAUUUUAGAUAUAGUAUGAGCAUGUCUACUAUUUUAUGAAUAAAUAACCAUAUUUUGAGUUAAUCUUGGAACAUUUUGGAUUUAUUUAGGUGAUUGUCUUCUUGAAGCAAAUUUGAUGAUGGAUUAUGAGGUUUUGAUGAAUUUAGUUAGGUGAUUCUAAUCGUGAGUAGAUAGACAAAGAUGUUCGAAGGAUUAUGAGGUUUUUGGUUUAGUACCAGCAUGAUGACUACUACUAUAUUGGUUGAUAAACAUAUUUUCAAUUAAUCUUGAAUUCUUUUGGAUUUAGUUAGGUGAUUGUGAUCUUGAAGCAAAUUUGAUGAUGGAUGAAGAGUUUUUGAUAGAUUUAGUUACGUGUUUAUGAUUUUGAGGAGAUAUUCAAAGAAUGUUGUGGAUUAUGAGAUUUGUGAGAAUGGUGAUUAUAUUGGUGGAUAAACAUAUUUUUAAUUAAUUUUGAAACACUUUGGAUUUAUUUAAGAGAUAGUCAAAGAUGUUUGGUGGAUUUAGUUUGGUUAUUGUGAUCCUGAGGUGAUAAUAGUUAAAGAUCUUUGGUGGUUUAUGAGACUUUAUGUCUAGUAUGAGCAUGGUAUAUUAUAUUGGUGGAUAAACAUAUCUUUCGUUAUUCUUGGAACAAUUUGAAUUUAGUUAGGUGAUUGUCAUCUUGAAGCAAAUUUUAUGAUGGAUUAUGAGUUUUUGGUGGAUCUACUUAGGUGAUUGGGAUCUUUAGGAGAUAUUCAGAGAUGUUCGGUGCAUUAUGAAAUUUUAGGUCUAGUAUAAACAUGACUACUAUUAUAUUGGUGGAUAACAUAUUUUCGAUUAAUCUUGAAAUAAAUUGGAUUUAGUUAGUGAUUGUGAUCUUGAAGCAAAUUUGCCGGUGGAUUUAGUUAGUUGGUUUUGAUCUUGAGGAGAUAGUCAAAUAUGUUUGGUGGAUUAUGAGAUUUUUGAUCUAGUAUGAGCAUGACUAUUAUUAUGUUGGUGGAUAAACAUAUCUUUAAUUAAUCUCGAAAGAAAUUUGAUUUAGUUAGGUGAUUAUCACCUUGAAACGAAUUUGACUAUGGUUUAUGAGCGUUCAGUGGAUUUUAGUUGGGUCACUUUGAUUUUAAGGCGAUAGUCAAAGAUGUUCGGUGGAUUAUGAGCUUUUAGGGUUUGUAUGAGCAUAAUUACUAUUAUGUUGGUGGAUAAACAUAUUUUUAAUUACUCUUGGAACAACUUGGAUUUAGUUAGGUGAUUAUCAUCUUCAAGCAAAUUUGAUGAUGGUUUAUGAGUUUUUAGUGAAUUUAGUUAGGACAUUGUGGUUUUGAGAAGAUAGUCAAAGAUGUUCGGUGGAAUAUUAGUUUUCAGUGGAGUUAGUUUGGUGAUUGUGAUCCUGAGGAGAUAGUUAAAAAUGUUCGGUGGAUUAUGAGAAUUUUAAGUGUAGUAUGAGCAUGGCUAUAUUAUAUUGGUUGAUAAACAUAUCUUCAACUUCGGAUUUAGUUAGGUGAUAGUGUUCGGUGGAUUAUGAUAUUUUAGGUCUAGUACGUGAGCAUGGUGAUCAUUAUAUUGGUGGAUAUACAUAUCUUCAAGUAAUUUUGAAACACAUUGGAUUUAGCUACGUGAUUGUGAUCUUGAAGUAAAUUUGUCGGUGAAUUAAUGAGAUUUUAGGUGGAUUUAGCUAGGUGAUUGUGCUAUUGAGCAGACAGUUAAAGAUGUUCGGUGGAUUUUAAGAUAGGGUAAUAAGUGAGCAUAACUAUAAUUGUAUUGGUUGAUAAACAGAUCUUUAACUAAUCUGGGAGCAAUUUUAAUUUAGUUAGGUAAUUUAGUUGGAUUUAGUUUGGUAAUUGUGGUCUUGAGGAGAUGGUCAAAGAUGUUUGGUGUAUAUGUGAUUUUAGGUAUAGUAUGGGCAUGCCUACGUUUAUAUUGGUAGGUUAACAUAUGUUCGAUUAAUCUUGGAAUAAUUUGGAUCUAGUUAUGUGAUUGUGAUCUUGAAGCAAAUUUGACGGUGGAUUAUGAGUUUUUGGUGGAUUUAGUUUGUAGAUUGCGAUCUUGAGGAGAUAGUUAAAGAUCUUUAGUGGAUUAUGAGAUUUUAAGUCUAGCAUGAGCAUGGCUCUAUAAUAUUGGUGGAUAAACAUAUGUUUUGUUAAUCUUGGAACACACGAAUACGCGUAGAGAACUAAGUAUGAACCAUGGCAGCAAAACCUUAUAGAUAAGACCUCACUACAAGAAGAAAUAAAGUAUAUCCAAGUGUGUCGAGAGAAGUCACUAGUGAUGACCUCCUUUCGAGUCAAAGGGAGAUGGACCCCCGACAUCAGAGUGAACAAGGUCGGAAAGACGUUGAGACACUGCCUCGCUAUGAGUAUAAGGUAUUUGGACAUGUUUACAUAGCCGACAACCUUGAUGGUUUAGAGACAUCGUCAGAGAUGGAUCCAAGAAGACCACGUCAUACUAAGGAUGAGAGAUCAAGUGACCCAAGGCGAUGAUGCCGCUGCUGAAAAUAAUUGGUAGAAAAGGCAACAGAGGCAGAGACUGGCGGUGGAGGCAGCAGAGGGACUUGAUCCAGCAUCCCAUGUGCAUGUGCACUUUCCGUACCUUGCCGAUCCGGAUUGGUGUUCUUCUCCUGUUUGCAGGUUGUGGGUCAUGCACUUGAUUAAGCACCCUAGGUUCUCCUACUGUGCGCCCUUGGCCCCGGCUUUAGGUAGCGCCUUGUCCUCGGCUCAUCCCGUGCAUAAUCCAGGUACGCGUCGACUGUCCGAGCUCGUGCUCACCAUUGGUGGUGCUCGAGCGUGCGGUUAUGGUGUCGCACAACAAGGGAACACGGGAUGUGGGAUUGAGACAGCACCCAUAGCAACCCGCAGCAAGGCAAAGGAUGCCCAUCCAAACUGGCAGGGAAAGAAGGUGGACACAAAGGUGUAUGUUGACUUCAUAGAAGUCUCAAUAGUGCGCUCAUCAGUAAGAGCAGCAUGAGCAAGAAGAUCUCAUGGAAGUAGCAAAGAGGACCAAGACAAAGGUGGAUUAUGGGAUUUUAAGUAUAGUAUGAGCUUGGCUAUAUUGGUUGAUAAACAUAUCUUCCGUUAAUCUUGGAACAAUCUGGAUUUAGUUAGGUGAUUGUCAUCUUGAAGCAAAUUUGGCGAUGGAUUAUGAGUUUUUGGUGGAUCUACUUAGGUGAUUGCUAUCUUGAGGAGAUAGUCAAAGAUGUUUGAUGGAUUAUGAGAUUUUAGGUCUAGUAUGAGCAUGACUACUAUUAUAUUGGUGGAUACACAUAUUUUCAAUUAAUCUUGAAAUAAUUUGGAUUUAGUAUGUGAUUUUAAUCUUGAAGCAAAUUUGACGAUGGAUUAUGAGUUUUCGAUGGAUUUAAUUAGGUGAUUGUGAUCUUGAGGAGAUAUUAAAAAAUGUAAGGUGGAUUAUGAGAUUUUAGGUCUAGUACGUGAGAAUGGUGACGAUUAUAUUGGUGGAUAAACAUAUCUUCAAUUAAUCUUGGAACACUUUGGGUUUAGUUAGGUGAUUGUGAUUUUUAAAUCAAAAUUCAUGAUGGAUUAUGAUAUCUUAGCCUGGAUUUAGUUAGGUGAUUGUCAUAUUGAGAAGAUAGCCAAAGAUGUUCCAUGGAUUAUGAGAUUUUAGACAUAGUAUAAGCAUGUCUACAAUUAUAUGAACAAAUAAUCAUAUCUUCAAUUAAUCUUGGAAGAAUUUGGAUUUAUUUAGGUGAUUUUCAUCUUGAAGCAAAUUUGAUGAUGGAUUAUGAGAUUUUGAUGGAUUUAAUUAGGUGAUUGUGAUCUUGAAUAGAUAGACAAAGAUUCGGUGGAUUAUGAGGUUUUAGGACUAGUAUAAGCAUGGCUACUACUAUUUGUUAUAAACAUAUUUUUUAAUUAAUCUUAAAUUUUUUGGAUUUAGUUAGGUGAUUGUGAUCUUGAAGCAAAUUGGACGAUGGAUUAUGAGUUUUUGAUGGAUUUAAGUACGUGGUUGUGAUUUUGAGGAAAUCGUCAAAGUGUUCGGUGGAUUAUGGGAUUUGAGGUCUAGUACAUGUGAAUGGUGAUUAUGUUGGUGGAUAAACAGAUUUCCUUUUAAUUUUGGAACACUUUGGAUUUAGUUAAGAGAUAGUCGAAGUUGUUUGGUGGAUUAUGAGUUUGUGGUCGAUUUAGUUUGGUGAUUGUGAUCUUUAGGAGAUAGUUAAAAGGUGUUCGGUGGAUUAUGAGAUUCUAAGUCUAUUAUCAGCAUGGCUAUAUUAUAUUGGUGGAUAAACAUAUCUUUUGUUAAUUUUAGAACAAUUUGGAUUUAGUUAGUGAUUGUCACCUUGAUGCAAAUUUGAUGAUGGAUUAUGAGUUUUUGGUGGAUCUACUUAGGUGAUUGAGAUAAUGUGGAGAUACUCAAAGAUGUUCGGUGGAUUAUGAAAUUUUGGGUCUAGUAUGAGCAUGACUACUAUUAUAUUGGUGGAUAAACAUAUCAUUAAUUGAUGUUGAAAGAACUUUGAUUUAGUUAGGUGAUUAUCAUCUUGAAACAAAUUUGACGAUGGUUUAUGAGUUUUUAGUGGAUUUAGUUUCGUCCCUGUGAUUUUGUGGAGAUAGUCAAAGAUGUUCAGUGGAUUAUGAGGUUUUAGGGUUAGUAUGAGCAUGAUUACUUUUAUGUUGGUGGAUAAACAUAUCUUCAAUUAAUCUUGGAACAACUUGGAUUUAGGUAGGUGAUUAUCAUCUUGAAACAAAAUUGAUGAUGGUUUAUGAGUUUUUAGUGGAUUUAGUUAGGUCAUUGUGGUUUUGAGAAGAUAGUCGAAGAUGUUCGGUGAAUGAUGUGUUUUUGGUGGAUUUAGUUCGGAGAUUGUGAUCUUGAGGAUAUAGUUCAAGAUGCUCCGUGGAUUAUGAGAUUUUAAGUCUAGUAUGAGCAUGGCUAUAUUAUAUUGGUUGAUUAACAUAUCUUCCGUUAAUCUUGGAACAAUAUGGAUUUAGUUAGGCGAUUGUCAUCUUGUAGCAAAUUUGACGAUGGAUUAUUAGUUUUUGGUGGAUCUACUUAGGUGAUUGUGAUCUUUAGGAGAUAGUCAAAGAUGUUGUGUGGAUUAUGAGAUUUUAGGUCUAGUAUGAGCGUGACUAUUAUAUUGGUGUAUAACAUAUUUUCAAUUAAUCUUGGAAUAAUUAGGAUUUAGUCAUGUGAUUUUUUUCCUGAAACAAAUUUGACGAUGGAUUAUGAGUUUUGAUGGAUUUAAUUAGGCUGCGAUCUUGAGGAGAUAUUCAAAAAUGUUCGACGGAUUGUGAGAUUUUAGGUCUAGUACGUGAGAAUGGUGAUUAUUAUAUUGGUGGAUAUACAGAUCUUCAAUUAAUCUAGGAACACUCUGGAGUUAGUUAGGUGAUUGUGAUCUUGAGAAGAUAGUUAAAGAUGUUCGGUAGAUUAUGAGAUUCUAGGCCUAUUAGGUGAAUAUGGUGAUUAUUAUAUUAUUGAAUAGACAAAUCUUCAAGCAAUUUUGCAACACUUUAUAUUUAGUUAGGUGCUUGUGAUCUUGAACAAAAAUGCAGAUGAAUUACAAAAUUUUAGGUUGAUUUAGGUAGGUGAUUAUAAUCUUGAGAAGAUAUUAGGUGGAUUGUGAGUUUUUUGGGUUAAUAGAUGAGCAUGAUGAUUAUUAUAUUAUUGGAUAAACAAAACAAAUAUUUAGUUAAUCCAGGAAUAAUUUAAAUUUUUAUAGGUGAUUGUGAUCUUCAACUAAAUUUCACGAUGGAUAAUAAGAUUCUAGGUGGAUUUAGUUGGGUGAUUGUGUUAUUGAGCAGAUAGUCAAAGAUGUUUGGUGGAUUAUGAGAUUUUAGGCUAGUAAGUGAGCACGACUAUUAUUCUAUUGGUGGAUAAACAGAUCUUUAACUAAUCUUGGAGCAAUUUUGCUUUAGUUAGGUGAUUGUGAUCUUGAACCAAUUUCACGGUGGAUUAUGAGAUUUUAGAUGGAUUUAGUUAGGUAAUUGUGGUCUUCUGGAGAUGGUCAAAGAUGUUUGCUGUAUUAUGUGAUUUUAGGUAUAGUAUGGGCAUGCCUACUUUUAUAUUGGUAGAUUAACAUAUCUUCAAUUCAUUUUGGAAGAAUUUGGAUUUACUUAUGUGAUUGUGAUCUUGAAGCAAAUUUGAUGACGGAUUAUGAGUUUUUGGUGGAUUUAGUUUGUAGAUUGUGAUCUUGAGGAGAUGGUUAAAGUUCUUAGGUGGAUUAUGAGAUUUAAGUCUAGUAUGAGCAUGGCUAUAUUAUAUUGGUGAUAUAAACAUAUCAUUCGUUAAUCUUGAAACAAUAUGGAUUCAGUUAAACGAUGGAUUAUGACUUUUUGGUGGAUCUACUUAAGUGAUUGUGAUUUUGAGGAGAUAGUCAAAGGUGUUUGGUGGAUUAUGAGAUUUUGUGUCUAGUAUGAGCACGACUACUAUUAUAUUGAUGGAUAAACAUAUUUUCAAUUAAUCUUGAAAUAAUUUGGAUUUAGUUAGGUGAUUCCGCUCUUGAAGCAAAUUUGAUGAUGGAUUAUGAGUUUUUGAUCGAUUUAAUUAGUUGAUUGUCAUCUUGAGGAGAUAGUCAAAGUUUGGUGGAUUAUAAGAUUUGAUUAUUUUAUUGGUGGAUACACAGAUUUUUAAUUAAUUUUUGAGCAAUUUGGAUUUAGUUAGGUGAUUAUGAUCUUGAACCCAAUUUCACGAUAGAUUAUGAGAUUUUAGCUGGAUUCAGUUAGGUAAUUGUUGUCUUGUGGAGAUAGUCAAAGAUGUUUGGUGGAUUAUAAGAUUUUUGGUCUAGUAUGAGCAUGCCUACUAUUAUGUUGGUGGACAAACAUAUCAUUAAUUGAUGUUGAAAGAACUUUGAUUUAGUUAGGUGAUUAUCAUCUUAAAACAAAUUUGACAAUUGUUUAUGAGUUUUUAGUGGAUUUAGUUACGUCCCUGUGAUUUUGAGGAUAUAGUCAAAGAUUUUUGAGAUUUUAGGUCUACACCUAGUUUCAAUGGAUAUGCUGCCAUACGUGACACCUAAAGAAGCAGUUGCUAUUUACCCAACUCUUUCCCGUGCACAUCUUUGGCACAAGGUUCAUGAAAGUGUUGCUAUGGAUCUUUGCCAAGUUAUGGGUCAGGAGUUGGAUGCGCUGGAGAUUGAGACAGUACAGAAGGAGACAAUACAUCCAAGGAAGAGUUGCAACAUGAACAGUUCAUGUGCAGAUGUCCUUUUUGCUGCACAUAGGUGGCAGAUGUCCAAACCAAGCUUAGUUUCUGCGUCAAAGGAUGUCUUCGAUCAGAAAUCCAGUAACAAGCACUGGAUUGAUGUGCAACCAAGAUGGGGAGAUUACAAUUCACACGACAUAGAACUUUACGCAAGAGCAAAAUUUAUGGACUACGUGACAGAUAAUUUGUCCAUCUACCGUUCUCUGACUGGGGUGAUGAUUGGACUUGAUCUAGCUUAUAAUUUGCACUCUGAUUUUGGUAAUUGGUUCCCCGGGUCAAAGCCCCUCCUUCAGCAAGCAAUGAAUAAGAUCAUGAAGUCAAAUCCUGCUCUGUAUGUGCUGAGGGAGAGAGAGAAUAGGAAACGGUCUUCAGUUCUAUUCAUCUGAACCCACCGCCCACCGAGCCAUAUGUCUUCACAGAACUACGGUACGGAGAGAUAUUCAGCAAUCAAAUCAUAUGGUUUGUUGAUGACACAAAUGUCUAUCGAGUUACGAUUCACAAAACUGUGGGUAACCUAACGGCCAAACCAAUCAAUGGUCCUAUCUUUAUUUACCGAAAAAGGCUUUCGCCCUGCUUUAUAGAUAAAGCAAACCACCACAGCCAAACGGUACAACAUAAGUUCACCCGCACACACACACACACACAGUCGCACAACAUAGAGUACAAAUAGGUUCUGCUGAGGGCACAGCUCAACAAGCCCUGAAAAAGAAAAAAUGAAGGCGGGUCAACCGCAGCAGCAUCCAAGGAUCUAAUCCGGCUCGGGUGGUACCUAUCUUUAUUUUUAAUCCAAGAACUGGUCAACCAACUAUUUCUGAAGGAGACUGGCUAUACUUACAUCAUGCCAAAGAAUAUAUUGAAGAAUUUGAUAUGCAUAGCAGAUCUACGGACACAGGUUGUAGGUUUCCUGUAUGGGCUGAUUCCACGGGAUAACCCUCAAGUCAAGGAGAUGAGAUGCAUAUCCAUUCCGCCACAGCAUGGAGGUCACCAAAUGGUGAAUUUGCCAGCGAAUCUCCCAGAGCAUGAGUUCCUUGCUGACUUGCAGCCAUUGGGACCCAGCCGAAUGAAGCUCCUCAGCUAUCACCUCAGGAUUUGGCAUGACAUGCUAAAAUUUUGGAGAAGAACAAGGCGUGGCAUGGUGAAAAGUCCAUCAUUUUGACCUGCCGGUGAACAACUUGGGUCAGUGGUUAUGUUUGCGAGAAGAAAAAAACCUAUCGUGGUCAGUGGUUAUCACUUGUCAAACUGAAUCGUUAUCGUCAAGUGGAUGUUUUGCUUGGUGUUAUCACCCUUGCCUCGUUGAUUCUUUAUGAUUUGAGCUUCUUUGUUGAAGUUUAAUGUGUUAUGUUCAUCUGGUUACUCCUCUUCUUAAGAUUGGAGCACUUGCAGAUUUCUGUUGCUAGAUUAAGUUUACUAUGUCGGUCAUUGUUUGGUUAUAUAUCUCCGUCAGUCAGUUUUGUGACUGAGAGCAAAUCAGUUGUUCUGGACCUUGUCAAACCUCAGCUAUUGCUUGAGCCAGUUCUGGGAUGGUGACGCCUUGAAGAGUCUGGUUAAAGCAAGCCAGGGCAUCACUCGUUGCCACGUAAUAACCGACACCUGACAGCAAUAGCAGUGGAUGUUUCUUCUUCCUUGUGACUAGAGUUGUUUUGACAGUAACUUGGAUUAUGAGGCACAGGCAUCAUUGGGCCAGCAGUCUGAAGGUAGAGGAAGGUGCAUGGCAGCACAUGAUCCGUCCUGUACCAGCAAUGGAGAGGAAAUCUAUAGAAAUGGAAGAGAGGAGAUUUAGUGUACUACCAUCCAUCCAUGGGAUCCAUCCAAUACUACCAUCGUGUUGUGUAAUGAGUCGAUGUUUCAGUAUCAUCUUCACAAAAAAGAUGCUUCAGCAUCCCAUGCCAGAGACCUGACAUCGCCGGAGAGGCGGCGAGCGGAGAAGGCUGAGGAGGGGCUGAGGACGGUCAUGUACCUCAGCUGCUGGGGCCCAAAUUAGGAGUACUAUUAGUUGGGGGUGUUGAGUUCGUUGCAGCUUAUGCUUAUGUUAUGUGACAAUCCCCACAUGAUCGGUUGUAAAGAUACCAUGAUGAUGACAAUGAUGAAAAUUUCGGCUAUGAGUUUACAUCA